AGUGAACGCUGGCGGUAGGCCUAACACAUGCAAGUCGAACGGCAGCACAGUAAGAGCUUGCUCUUACGGGUGGCGAGUGGCGGACGGGUGAGGAAUACAUCGGAAUCUACUUUUUCGUGGGGGAUAACGUAGGGAAACUUACGCUAAUACCGCAUACGACCUACGGGUGAAAGCAGGGGAUCUUCGGACCUUGCGCGAUUGAAUGAGCCGAUGUCGGAUUAGCUAGUUGGCGGGGUAAAGGCCCACCAAGGCGACGAUCCGUAGCUGGUCUGAGAGGAUGAACAGCCACACUGACAGUAAGACAGGGCGCAGACACAUACGGGGGACGGCAGUGGGGAAGAUGGGAAAAGGGGCGAAAGCCUGAUCCACCAAUCCGGGGGGGGGGAAAAAGCCUUUGGGGUUGAAAACCCCUUUUGUGGGAAAGAAAAAGCACAAGUUAAAUACCCCGUUGUUCGCAGGGAACCAAAAAAAAAGCCCCGGCCAAGGUUGGUG
rnacentral:rRNA from 1 species